GACGAACGCUGGCGGCGCGCCUAACACAUGCAAGUCGAACGAAGCGCCUGGCCCCGACUUCUUCGGAACGAGGAGCCUUGCGACUGAGUGGCGGACGGGUGGAGUAAACGCGUGGGCGAACCUAGCCUUGCACUGGGGGAGUAACAGCCAGAAAUAGGCUGCUAAUACCGCAUAGGACCGAAGCGCCGCAUGGCGCGGCGGCCAAAGCCCCGGCCGGUGCAAGAUGGGCCCGCGUCUGAUUAGGUAGUUGGCGGGGUAACGGCCCACCAAGCCGACGAUCAGUAGCCGACCUGAGAGGGUGACCAGCCACAUUGGGACUGAGAGACGGCCCAGACUCCUACGGGAGGCAGCAGUGGGGAAUAUUGCACAAAUGGGGAAAACCCUGAUGCAAGCGACGCCGCGUGAAGGAUGAAAGUAUUUCGGUAUGUAAACUUCUAUCAGCAGGGAAGAAGAUGACGGUACCUGACUAAGAAGCCCCGGCUAACUACGUGCCAGCAGCCGCUGUAA
rnacentral:rRNA from 1 species